UACGUAGGGUGCAAGCGUUAAUCGGAAUUACUGGGCGUAAAGCGUGCGCAGGCGGUUGUGUAAGUCUGUCGUGAAAUCCCCGGGCUCAACCUGGGAAUUGCGAUGGAGACUGCACGGCUAGAGUGUGUCAGAGGGGGGUAGAAUUCCACGUGUAGCAGUGAAAUGCGUAGAUAUGUGGAGGAACACCGAUGGCGAAGGCAGCCCCCUGGGAUAACACUGACGCUCAUGCACGAAAGCGUGGGGAGCGAGCAGG
rnacentral:rRNA from 1 species